rnacentral:rRNA from 1 species
CCUACGGGAGGCAGCAGUGAGGAAUAUUGGUCAAUGGGCGGAAGCCUGAACCAGCCAAGUAGCGUGCGGGAUGGAGGCCCUACGGGUCGUAAACCGCUUUUGCACGGGGAUAACACCCUCCACUUGUGGAGGUCUGCAGGUACCGUGCGAAUAAGGGCCGGCUAAUUCCGUGCCAGCAGCCGCGGUAAUACGGAAGGCCCGAGCGUUAUCCGGAUUCAUUGGGCUAAAAGGGAGCGUAGGCGGGCGUUCAAGUCAGCUGUAAAAGCGCGCGGCUCAACCGCGCCCCGCAGUUGAAACUGGACGCCUUGAGUUCACAACAGGCAGGCGGAAUUCGUGGUGUAGCGGUGAAAUGCAUAGAGAUCACGAGGAACCCCGAUUGCGAAGGCAGCCUGCCGGGGUGCGACUGACGCUGAGGCUCGAAGGUGCGGGUAUCAAACAGGAUUAGAUACCCUUGUAGUC